rnacentral:misc_RNA from 1 species
AACAUCGCGCACCUGCGGGAACCUGCGGAGGGAUCAUUACAGAGUUGCAAAACUCCCUAAACCAUUGUGAACGUUACCUAAACCGUUGCUUCGGCGGGCGGCCCGGGUCCUUCCCGGCGCCCCUCGGCCCUCGCGGGCGCCCGCCGGAGGUAAACCAAACUAUUGCAUUGUAUGGCCUCCCUGAGUCUUCUGUACUGAAUAAGUCAAAACUUUCAACAACGGAUCUCAGAUCGGAAGAGC